rnacentral:rRNA from 1 species
CCUACGGGAGGCAGCAGUGAGGAAUAUUGGUCAAUGGACGAGAGUCUGAACCAGCCAAGUAGCGUGAAGGAUGACUGCCCUAUGGGUUGUAAACUUCUUUUAUAUGGGAAUAAAAUGUUCCACGUGUGGGAUUUUGUAUGUACCAUAUGAAUAAGGAUCGGCUAACUCCGUGCCAGCAGCCGCGGUAAUACGGAGGAUCCGAGCGUUAUCCGGAUUGAUUGGGUGUAAAGGGAGCGUAGGUGGAUUGUUAAGUCAGUUGUGAAAGUUUGCGGCUCAACCGUAAAAUUGCAGUUGAAACUGGCAGUCUUGAGUACAGUAGAGGUGGGCGGAAUUCGUGGUGUAGCGGUGAAAUGCUUAGAUAUCACGAAGAACUCCGAUUGCGAAGGCAGCUCACUGGACUGCAACUGACACUGAGGCUCGAAAGUGUGGGUAUCAAACAGGAUUAGAUACCCCAGUAGUC